rnacentral:lncRNA from 1 species
UCCACCAUUCUUUACCGCGUUGUCACCGGUAAUUAUGGUCUUAGUUGGUCCUUCACCAAUUAACACUACAUUAAGUUUGUCCUUUUCGAUCUCAAUAUUCUCCUUGUAUAUACCCUCCUUGAUGAGGAUAACAAAAGGCUUAGUGUUUUUUUUUGGGACAGCAUUAAUUGCGUCCUUGAUGGUCUUGUAUUGUCCACUCCCAUCUGCAGAAACUACAGCAUUAGGUUGGGCACUUGAAAUCUGAAGGAGUUUACGAUUACUGGCUUCGAUGAUUGAAUCACUGUUCGAUAAUAAUUUACGCGUAAGUCCUGUAGUUUGUGUGAUCAUUUGACCAAAGCUAUCGACCAUGUAAAGGACAUUAAGAGUAAGCUCCUGAGUGGUGUUCAUUAAUUUUGCCAUUUUUUCACGCGUUUCACUAUAUUCUUUCUUUGUAAAACCAUCCAAACAAGUGUCUUCAUAAGCAAGAACUGCGCUAAGCCAUGUCUUUAGGUCAUCCACAACAUCCUUGAUCAUGGAGAUAUCAAAGUUUUGUAUUUUGGUAAUAGAGGUCCUUAGAUCCUCAGCGGCAAGGUCAAACAACUGUUCACAAGCUAGGAGAGCAUCUUUCGUAUAUGGAUCACUGGCAGCUUUCUUGAUUGGUUCGAUGCUCUUGAUGAUAUUCUUUAAUUCAGUCACAGUCGCUUCGAAUGCAACCUUGAUAUAAUCCUUUGGGUCCGAC